GACCUGGUGGUGAAUGGUUCACACCCACCCUUCCUGUGUGUGUAUUCUUCUCAAAAUGUGAAGUGGGAGUACUUGGUUCAAUUCUGGGUCAGGUCA